AUUUAAACCUGAUAGAACGAAAAUACUUUUGAGGCAGAUGCAUUGAUGUUAAAAUUUACGAUCGCAAAAGAUUGUAGGGAUAGCAGGACUUUCG
rnacentral:sRNA from 1 species